UACGAAGGGGGCUAGCGUUGUUCGGAUUUACUGGGCGUAAAGCGCACGUAGGCGGAUCGAUCAGUCAGGGGUGAAAUCCCAGAGCUCAACUCUGGAACUUGCCUUUGAUACUGUCGAUCUGGAGUAUGGAAGAGGUGAGUGGAAUUCCGAGUGUAGAGGUGAAAUUCGUAGAUAUUCGGAGGAACACCAGUGGCGAAGGCGGCUCACUGGUCCAUUACUGACGCUGAGGUGCGAAAGCGUGGGGAGCAAACAGG
rnacentral:rRNA from 1 species